rnacentral:rRNA from 1 species
UACGGGGGGGGUAAGCGUUGUUCGGAAUUACUGGGCGUAAAGGGCUCGUAGGCGGCCAACUAAGUCAGACGUGAAAUCCCUCAGCUUAACUGGGGAACUGCGUCUGAUACUGGAUGGCUUGGAUUCGGGAGAGGAAUGCGGAAUUCCAGGUGUAGCGGUGAAAUGCGUAGAUAUCUGGAGGAACACCGGUGGCGAAGGCGGCAUUCUGGACCGACAUUGACGCUGAGGAGCGAAAGCCAGGGAGCAAAGCGGG